rnacentral:rRNA from 1 species
GACGAACGCUGGCGGCGUGCUUAACACAUGCAAGUCGAACGAUGAAGCGGGUGCUUGCACUCGUGGAUUAGUGGCGAACGGGCGAGUAACACGUGAGUAACCUGUCCUUUUCUUUGGGAUAACGGCUGGAAACGGCUGCUAAUACUGGAUAUUCAGGCCGCAUCGCAUGGUGUGGUUUGGAAAGGUUUUUUCUGGGAUUGGGUGGGCUCGCGGCCUAUCAGCUUGUUGGUGGGGUGAUGGCUUACCAAGGCUUUGACGGGUAGCCGGCCUGAGAGGGUGGUCGGUCGCACUGGGACUGAGAUACGGCCCAGACUCCUACGGGAGGCAGCAGUGGGGAAUAUUGCACAAUGGACGAAAGUUUGAUGCAGCGACGCCGCGUGGAGGGUGUAGGCCUUCGGGUUGUGAACUCCUUUUUCUCGCGAAAAAGGCACAGUUUUGGCUGUGUUGAUGGUAGUGGGGGAAGAAGCGCCGGCUAACUACG